AGCGAACGCUGGCGGCAGGCCUAACACAUGCAAGUCGAACGAACCCUUCGGGGUUAGUGGCGGACGGGUGAGUAACACGUGGGAACGUACCUUAGGUUCGGAACAACACAGGGGAAACUUGUGCUAAUGCCGAAUGUGCCCUUCGGGGGAAAGGUUUAUCGCCUUUAGAGCGGCCCGCGUCUGAUUAGCUUGUUGGUGAGGUAAAGGCUCACCAAGGCUACGAUCAGUAGCUGGUCUGAGAGGAUGAUCAGCCACACUGGGACUGAGACACGGCCCAGACUCCUACGGGAGGCAGCAGUGGGGAAUCUUGCGCAAUGGGCGAAAGCCUGACGCAGCCAUGCCGCGUGAAUGAUGAAGGUCUUAGGAUUGUAAAAUUCUUUCACCGGGGAAGAUAAUGACGGUACCCGGAGAAGAAGCCCCGGCUAACUUCGUGCCAGCAGCCGCGGUAA
rnacentral:rRNA from 1 species